AAGUCCCCAGAGUGAAAAAUGCCAGGAUAGAUGCAUUAUCAAAGUUAACAACUUUGUUGCCCACUGACUUGAAAAAAGGGAUCUAUUUCAUGGUAUUAAAGACCUCGAGCCUCAAGGAGCCUCUCAUUGUCUAGCAGGUUGACAAAGAACUCUAUUGGAUUGAUCCCCUACUGAAGCAUUUAAGGUCAGAUGAGUUGCCACC
rnacentral:lncRNA from 1 species